GUAGGUGGCAAGCGUUAUCCGGAAUUAUUGGGCGUAAAGCGCGCGCAGGCGGUUUCUUAAGUCUGAUGUGAAAGCCCACGGCUCAACCGUGGAGGGUCAUUGGAAACUGGGAGACUUGAGUGCAGGAGAGAAAAGUGGAAUUCCACGUGUAGCGGUGAAAUGCGUAGAGAUGUGGAGGAACACCAGUGGCGAAGGCGGCUUUUUGGCCUGUAACUGACGCUGAGGCGCGAAAGCGUGGGGAGCAAACAGGAUUAGAUACCCUGGUAGUCCACGCCGUAAACGAUGAGUGCUAGGUGUUGGGGGGUUCCACCCUCAGUGCUGACGUUAACACAUUAAGCACUCCGCCUGGGGAGUACGGCCGCAAGGCUGAA
rnacentral:rRNA from 1 species